CUCAUGCCUUCGAUGUCCUCGGGAGGGAGGAUCUUGAUCUGUGACGUUCCCUUCAGAAAUUGCUCGGAUUCAGACAUCCCUGUGGAAAGACAGACAAUGGUUGGGAUCGUUACGGCCAAGCCACAGUUGGGAUGCAGCCAGGCGGCCUUGCGUGCAUGAGACAAAAGCCCAAGGCAGCACAACGCUUAACAGGAAGGAUUGCUGGUGGGCAACUUUGAGGGAAGGAACAAUAGGCAUGCAGCGGCAGCGCAAGUCUUCUUCAGCGACAUCACGGGCAAGACCAACCCGAGUCCCGAAAUAUAAACUUUGUUACCUCGAGGAUGGUCAGCAUAGUCAGGUCUUUGGAUUUCACUGGGUACAGGCCGCAAAGGUGUCUGAAGUGAAAAGCAGAACACGUGUUGGGCCCCCUUGCAAUCGCAGCAAAAGUUGCUUCUACAAAGUAUUUGCCCAUGUCCUACUUUUUAGUUGUUGUCGGGUUGUUUUUUUUAAGCAAAAGAAAAAAAAAAAACACAAAACAUUUCAAAUACCCGAUAAAGUUGGAUACAGACAAAAACGAGACAGGCAACUCACCAGAGGGUAGUAAGGACGAAGUUUCCCCGCGUAGCGGUAGCCAGGCCAUGGGUCUGUGUUGAUGUCUUUUUCCACACAGUUCUUACAUUCAUUCUGGUUCUUGUCCUCCUCUGACAAAACAACACAAGAUUUACAACGCCAUAAUAAAGAUCAUAGUGGCACAAAGGAA